rnacentral:rRNA from 1 species
GAUGAACGCUGGCGGCGUGCCUAACACAUGCAAGUCGAACGGAAAGGCCCAAGCUUGCUUGGGUACUCGAGUGGCGAACGGGUGAGUAACACGUGGGUGAUCUGCCCUUCACUUCGGGAUAAGCCUGGGAAACUGGGUCUAAUACCGGAUAGGACGAUGGUUUGGAUGCCAUUGUGGAAAGUUUUUUCGGUGUGGGAUGAGCUCGCGGCCUAUCAGCUUGUUGGUGGGGUAAUGGCCUACCAAGGCGUCGACGGGUAGCCGGCCUGAGAGGGUGUACGGCCACAGUGGGCAUGAGCUACGGCCCAGACUACUACGGGAGGCAGCAGUGGGGAAUAUUGCACAAUGGGCGCAAGCCUGAUGCAGCGACGCCGCGUGGGGGAUGACGGCCUUCGGGUUGUAAACUCCUUUCGCUAGGGACGAAGCGUUUUUGUGACGGUACCUGGAGAAGAAGCACCGGCUAACUACGUG